rnacentral:rRNA from 1 species
GAUGAACGCUGGCGGCGUGCCUAAUACAUGCAAGUCGAGCGAAUGGAUUGAGAGCUUGCUCUUAUGAAGUUAGCGGCGGACGGGUGAGUAACACGUGGGUAACCUGCCCAUAAGACUGGGAUAACUCCGGGAAACCGGGGCUAAUACCGGAUAACAUUUUGAACCGCAUGGUUCGAAAUUGAAAGGCGGCUUCGGCUGUCACUUAUGGAUGGACCCGCGUCGCAUUAGCUAGUUGGUGAGGUAACGGCUCACCAAGGCAACGAUGCGUAGCCGACCUGAGAGGGUGAUCGGCCACACUGGGGCUGAGACACGGCCCAGACUCCUACGGGAGGCAGCAGUAGGGAAUCUUCCGCAAUGGACGAAAGUCUGACGGAGCAACGCCGCGUGAGUGAUGAAGGCCUUCGGGUCGUAAAACUCUGUUGUUAGGGAAGAACAAGUGCUAGUUGAAUAAGCUGGCACCUUGACGGUACCUAACCAGAAAGCCACGGCUAACUACGUGCCAGCCGCCGCAGUAA